CCUACGGGGGGCAGCAGUGGGGAAUAUUGGACAAUGGGGGCAACCCUGAUCCAGCCAUGCCGCGUGUGUGAAGAAGGCCCUCGGGUUGUAAAGCACUUUCAGUGAGGAAGAACGCCUGGUGGUUAAUACCCAUCAGGAAAGACAUCACUCACAGAAGAAGCACCGGCUAACUCCGUGCCAGCAGCCGCGGUAAUACGGAGGGUGCGAGCGUUAAUCGGAAUUACUGGGCGUAAAGCGCGCGUAGGUGGCUUAAUAAGCCGGUUGUGAAAGCCCCGGGCUCAACCUGGGAACGGCAUCCGGAACUGUCAAGCUAGAGUGCAGGAGAGGAAGGUAGAAUUCCCGGUGUAGCGGUGAAAUGCGUAGAGAGCGGGAGGAAUACCAGUGGCGAAGGCGGCCUUCUGGACUGACACUGACACUGAGGUGCGAAAGCGUGGGUAGCAAACAGGAUUAGAUACCCUUGUAGUC
rnacentral:rRNA from 1 species